AUUGAACGCUGGCGGCAGGCCUAACACAUGCAAGUCGAACGAGUGGCGGACGGGUGAGUAAUGUCUGGGAAACUGCCCGAUGGAGGGGGGUAACUACUGGAAACGGUAGCUAAUACCGCAUACCAUCGGAUGUGCCCAGAUGGGAUUAGCUAGUAGGUGGGGUAACGGCUCACCUAGGCGACGAUCCCUAGCUGGUCUGCGAGGAUGACCAGCGACACUGGAAAGUAGACACGGCCCAGACCCCGACGGGAGGCAGCAGUGGGGAAUAUUGCACAAUGGGCGCAAGCCGGAUGCAGCAAUGCCGGGGGUAUGAAGAAGGCCUGCGGGUUGUAAAGUACUUUCAGCGAGGAGGCGUUACUCGAAGAAGAAGCACCGGCUAACUCCGUGCCAGCCGCCGCGGUAAUAC
rnacentral:rRNA from 1 species